GUGCGCAUAGAUUCAAACAAUUGAAUGCUGCGCAGUCAUUGGAUGAAUCACACUGGGUGGAUCUGCCCCCAGAACUCAAACAAUAUCAUUGGUUUCAGCAUCGAUUCAUCCAAUGAUUGUGCAACAUUCAUUUGAAUCUGCGUGCACUUUCUUGAUCUGUCUGAAGCCAAGAGACUAUAUACAUUUUCUUUGUUCACAUUUCUAUGUUUUUUCAACUAUUUUAAGGUCUUACAUCCCUUCACCUAGUGUUCUGUUCAUUUUCUUAUAUGAAUAGAUAAUGGGCGACAAGCAAAUCUCUUCAUUUGCAUGUAAUACAAUUUAAAAAAUUAAAUUAAAUCCUAAAGGGUUUUGGAUCAUGAAGACCAUUGACAAGAUAAGAAACAAGAAAAAUGAAACAUAUCUUCAACCCUUUCUGGCUUUGUACAAUUAUUUACCGUUUUACUGUGAAAUAAAGUUUUACCUGUGAGGAAGCUUUGCCAGAGUGUCAAAGAAGGUGAUAAGAGACAGAGGACCAAAUGAAAUCAAGCAAAACAAACUUACCUUAACACAGCUAGCUGACAUCCUCUUUUGUUUAUGCUCUCUCCCAAACUAACAUCUCUCCCUUUAAAUAGGCCCUGAAAUCUAUCUAGGCAGAACCAUAUUUAUAUCAGGGGUGUCCUUUCCCUGAUACCAACAACUGGUGUAUGACAAUGUCACUUGUAUCAGUUAACAUUGUUUACACACACAUCGACAACAGCAUUGUUCCUUACCAUAAAACAAAAUAAGUACAAAUAACAUAAAAACAAAACCAAACAUUUAACUAAAUAAAAUAAACUCCCCUAUACUUGGUCUAACUCAUGACAUCACUGGUGAUGUCAGCAAGAUCUUUAAAUCAGGAAGUGGUCCAGUGCCUGCCCUUUUGUCUCCUGGCCGCAUGGUGGGCUGAAGUGGAACAUGAGCGCUGAGGUUCCUUGAGCUUCAAAGAAACUCGGUAUGAUGUAUGCUGAAAUACUGUUGGUGCUUGAAUGUUCAAUUUUAUUAGCCAUGUACCCGACAGUUCCCCCACACUACUGCUCCAGUAACUGGUUGCCUCAUCUGGAGUGGAUACUGGCCUUUAACUUGAAACUUUUUUAUUGGACUAAAUCACCUGACUCACAUGAAAGCAGGAUCAAAUUGUCUGAGUGACAUUGCCCUUUGUACAGCAAUCAGAGGUAUGUUUUAAAUUUGGUUUUCUCUGCAUCAGAAGUGGUAUAUUUGUAUUGAAUUAUUCAAGAAUAUGUAGACUCAGUGCUUUUUAUGUACUGAGCUAUUACCAGAAUGAAAAUCUGUUUGAACCCUGUUCAGACCAAAAAUGGUCUGUAUUAGUGUUGGCAUGUUGCUUCAGGUAGCAGUGAGAUGAUGAAAUAUGAUACAAGAAGUCCAGUUUGAGGGAUAGAUCAUUGCGUUUUGAGACUAUUCAGAUGCCAAAACACUGCAUAGCACUUUAUAAUACUUCAAGUCAGUAUUUUACAACCCUGGCAAGUUUGUAAAGUCUGGAAACAUGACCACUAACAUUGUCAUAUACAUAAUUCUCAAAUACUGGCUUGGGCAACUAUGGUUGUUUAAAAAAAAAAAAUAGAACCAUCAUAACUAUAUUCUUUUUUGGAAAUUACAUUGGUGGAACUGUUACACUGUUUUGUGCUUGAUGUCUGUGUGAUGUAUAAUUAUUUGUGUAAUAAUUAUUACUUUUUCAUUUUCAGUCUAGGAACAAAAUGUUCAUGAACAUGAGAUGCACUCUGGCCCUUCGUAGCCAUCCGGUGUAUCAGUGCGAGGGGUCUCUGAGACCAAGACUAGCAACGUAACUUCUCAGUGCACUCACAGAAAUGUCAAUAACUAUCAGUACAAUGUUGACAUAACAUAUUGUAUGGGAAACAAACUUGAAAUUUAAGUUGAUUCAAGGAUAGGUUUGUACUUUUUCAAGUCUAUCUCAAUAUAAUAUUCAAAUGUCAAAUGUAUGAUGACAAAGUUAUUAGUGCGCGGAAAUUAUUCGUCCUAUCUCCAUAAUAACCGUAAAGCAGUCCCUUCCUAUCAGGUAGGAUGAAUCUCUAACCAGUCUGCAGAAUUACAUUGAGCGUGUUUUGCCAGUUAUCAAGUGACUGCACAUGAUCACAGCUAAUGGAGGCUACUGUCCAGUGAGAGCUUGAUUCUAACUGAUGCUACCUGGAUGAGAUGUCCCAAACAGAUUUACUGCACAAUAGUUGAUGCUUCAUAUGAUGCGCACUGUCUGUGUAGAUUAGUCACUGCAUAGAUACCUAUCUAUAGAUGCUUGUUUUUUGUCUAGCUGUCAACAUAUCCGCAUUUCUAUUUAUUUUGGAGACAUUGAGUGUACAAACCUAUCGAUGAGAAGGUUCACACAGUGCGACACCUGCUGGUCAUUUUUUGUAACUACUUUUGGCAUGCUUGCUGUUGGUUCUAUGCCAUUGAUCUCUGUAUUUAUUGAGAGCUCAUAGUACCCUAUUACCCCACUAGAACACUGCGCUCCCAGAAUGCAGGCUUACU